UUGAAUAUUUUUAAAAGUAAUUAUAAAUUGAUUGAUAAAUAAUUAUAUUUUUUAUAAAAAUACUUAAAACUGAAAAGGAAUAUAAAUUUUAAUUUAAGAAGAAAUUUCUAAAAUGUACCUUUAGCAUUAGGGAUCACCAAAAAAAAAUAAAACUUUAUUUUUCUCGAAAUAAAUAGAUCUAAAAUCCUUAUAAAUCAAUUUGUUACAAAAAAUUGAUUAAUUUGAUGUUUAGAAGUGAAAUUCUUACCAAAAUUUACUAUAGCUAGUUUAAAAAAAAAAAUUUGAUAUUUUCCUGUUAAAUUUUCAGAAUAUUAUUAUAAAAGAAAACAGGAUAACUUUUUAAGGAUAAGCUUAAAAAAUUUUUUUAGACAAAAAAUAUAAAUAAAGAAAAAGGAAUAAAAUUUUCCUUAAUAUUGUAAAAAGUAAUUUUUUUUUCUAAGUAAAAAAUUAAAUUUUUUUUUAAUUUUAAGAAAUUUAAUAAAAGAUUUCUGGAAUUAUGGGAGUAUCAGUAGAAAAUAAAUUUUAUUUAAUAAAUUUUAAAUAAAAAUAAAAAUAAAAAUUUGAAUUUUAUGAACUAGGCAUAAAUAUUUUUUGGCUGUUUAGUAAAAACACCUCAUUUAGUUUUAAAAUUAAAUGUAUAUUCUGCUCAAUGAUGAAAUUAAAUUGCUGUAGUAUUUUGACUAUACAAAGGUAUUGAAAUAAGACUUUAAUUGAGUGCUAAGAGAAUGGACUUACAAAAAAAAUCUUUCUAGAAAUUCAAAAAUCAAAGUUUUUUCUUUUGUGCAGAAACAACAAUAUUAAUUAAGGACAAGAAGACCCUAAGAAUUUUUAAAACUAUAGUUGUAUAAUUAUUAAUUAUAGUUUUUUAAUUGGGGCGAUUGAUAAACAUAGAAAACUUUAUUUAAAAUAAAAGAUGAACCAGUAUUAUUGGUUUAAUGAAUAAAAAUACUCUAGGGAUAACAGCGUAAUAAUUUUUAAUAGCUCUUAUUGACAAAAUAGUUUGCGACCUCGAUGUUGGAUUAGGAUUCUUUUUUGAUGAAGAAGUCAAAAGAAGAAGUUUGUUCAACUUUUAAAUUCCUACAUGAUCUGAGUUUAGACCGAUGAGAAUCAGGUUGGUUUCUAUCUUAAUAAUUAAAUAUUUAUAGGUUAGUACGAAAGGAAUUCUUAUUAAAAAUUAUUUUCCUAAAGGUUUCAAUUUUUGCAUCAAUUUUUGGAAUU
rnacentral:rRNA from 1 species